rnacentral:tRNA from 1 species
AUCUUCUUAGUAUAAUAAAUAUAUUUGACUUCCAAUCAAAAGACCUUAAAUAAUAAGAGAAGAUA